AGACAGGGACGGGGAAACCACCCGCUCAGCAAUGAGCACCGGAGGUACCUCCUUGGGGUGAAGCCGGCAUUCAUACCGGCAGAGCACAUCCUCCGCUCUAACCCGACAGCUAACCUCGACGGCGACAAAUGAGAGGAA
rnacentral:sRNA from 1 species